rnacentral:misc_RNA from 1 species
GAUGAAGAACGUAGCGAAAUGCGAUAAGUAGUGUGAAUUGCAGAAUUCAGUGAAUCAUCGAAUCUUUGAACGCACAUUGCGCCCCUUGGUAUUCCAUGGGGCAUGCCUGUUCGAGCGUCAUUUGUACCUUCAAGCUCUGCUUGGUGUUGGGUGUUUUGUCUCGCCUCUGCGUGUAGACUCACCUUAAAACAAUUGGCAGCCGGCGUAUUGAUUUCGGAGCGCAGUACAUCUCGCGCUUUGCACUCAUAACGGCGACGUCCAAAAGUACAUUUUUACACUCUUGACCUCGGAUCAGGUAGGGAUACCCGCUGAACUUAAGCAUAUCAAUAAGCGGAGGA